UCUUGGGUCCCCUUCCGUGCUGUAGAAGCUUUGUUCUUUCUCUCUUCCCAAUAAAUCUUGCUGCUGCUGACUCUUUGGGUCCACACUACCUUUAUGAGCUGUAACACUCACCACAAGGGUCUGUGGCUUCAUUUCUGAAGUCAGUGAGACCACGAACCCACCAGGAGGAACAAACAACUCCGGACACACCACCUUUAAGAGCUGUAACACUUACUGAGAAGGUCUGAGGCUUCACUCCUGAAGUCAGCGAGACCAUGAACCCACCGGAAGGAAGAAACUACGAACACAUCUGAACAUCUGAAGGAACAAACUCCAGACACACUAUCUUUAAAAACUGUAACACUCACUGUGAGGGUCCACGGCUUCAUUCUUGAAGUCAGCAAGACCAAGAACCCACUGGAAGGAACCAAUUUUGGACACAUUUUGGCGACCGCAAAGGGACAAUCACCAAGUGGUGAGGGUGGCAAGAAGGCUGAUGAUGCUGUUUUACACCUAGAGGUCUUAUGGAACCAGGACUGCAUUUGUACGCGGAACAAACAACUUUGGGGGAUGGUUUAGUAAUUGCCUUUGGUAGGGCUUGUCUCACAUUCAUUAAAAACUCCAGGCAAGGCUGCUUCCUUGAUCUUUAUUUCUUUUCAGUUGCCAAGCAAACAAACAAAACUCCCUUCCUGAUAGUUACUUAGUUAUCUAACCUAGAAUGUCUUUGACUAAAGUCAACAUUUAGAGGUUAGAGGUUGGCAGACAUUUGGGUAAUUGCUGCAAUGGGUAACUAGUCUGCUUUUCUUGUUUUUAAAAACAUUUGAGAUACUAUAGAAUUUUAACCUUAUAUCACAUUAAGGUUUCGUUGUUAAAAAUAUUUAUUGUGUUCUCUCUUUGGUGAAUGAAAAAUAUCAUGUUGCCUAAUUAUCUUUGAUGUAGGAAAUGACUACAGCAUAAUUAAUAUAAAAGAUCAUGAUUUUAUUAUUUAGGAAAUUAAAAGGGAAUACUAAAUGUCUGUCUAGUUCAUAAUUACAGAUAUUGGAAACCAUCUAUCUUUUUUCCUCAUUUAGUUUUAUAACUAGAUCUGAAUUAAGGCUUAUAAAAGUGACAUUAUAUAUGAAGCCCACAGGUAUACACCUUGUAUAGAAUGUAGACAGCCAGUAUUCACUUUUCUGUGUCAAAGGAAUGCCCGUAAGAAUUGUUGGUAGGCGUCUAAAUGUGGAGGUAAGUAAUAAGCAGGUAUUGACUUCUGUUGAGAUCAAUAUCAAGAUUUGUUGACCCAAAGAAGUUAAAAUUGACUGAAGAGUGAGACAAUAAAUCUUGUUAUUGACUAGAAAGCAGAAGUCAAUAUAUGUAUUAUUAUAAACAUUUUUCUUUUGGUGUAGAUAGGGGUGGAGUCAUUUUUAAGACCUUAAAUGCAUAUGGCCAUAUGUUUUUUAUAUCAUGGUGGUGGCCAAUACAGGCUCCUUGGCUUAUUAAAACAGUGGCUAUUCACAUGACAUCAAUCACAUACCCGGUUCAUCAUUCGCCGUUUCAACCAUCUUUCUCCCUGCACUUUAGGCCCUCUUAUCCU
rnacentral:lncRNA from 10 species